ensembl:lncRNA
GCUCCCUCCUCCACCCCCGCCUCCUGACAUCAUGGCGGGCGGCCCGAGGGGCGCGGGCUCCGCUGAGGUGAGGCGGUGCCGCCCGCUCCCGUGAGGCGCGGCUCCGCGUCGGGUACGGAGCGGCCGUUUGGCAUCAAACUGUCGCCCUCCGCUGAUGGGAUCGGUGAUGUCCCGACCCCAAGUGGACGCCCGCUGAGGGGUUUAUUCUUCUCGGCAAAGCCUGAGCGGGCGGUGAGGGGCUCCUGAGCUGCACGGUCGGCCCUGCGGCCCACCAGGUCAGGUUUAACGCUGCUCGGUUGCGAAGCCUCCGGCGGCGCUCCGAAGGCUGCGAGGAGGGGCGGGCGCCGGUGGGCUCUGGUGACAGCGGUAGAACCCGAGGGCCUGGAGCUGCUGAGGAGAAGGUUGUUCACUAAGAAGGCGGUCGGGCACUGCAGCAGCCUGUCCGGGCUGUGGUUGUGGCACCACAGCUGACAGAGCUCAAGAAGUGGGUGGGCAAUGCUGUCAGACGUGUGGUCUGACCUUUGGGUGUCCUGUGUGGAGCCCGGAGUUGGGCUCAGCGAUCCUGAUGUGUCCCUUCCAGCUCAGGAUGUUCUGUGUUGUUUUUUCUUUACCUGGGAGACGGAAAAAUUGGAGAACGCUUCAGCCCUCUCUCCCAUUAAGUCAAAUCUGCAGGGAAAAUAGACUUAAUUUCUUCAAGUAUUCUUUUAACUAUUUGGUUCUGUUAAUCUGCAGCUUGGAAAGCAAAGCCAGUCAUUUAGAGAGCAGAAAACCCAACUGCUCUGCUGUGUACGGACACAGAUCUCACAGCAAGGCACCACGAAUAGCAGACCUGCAGAAAUGUCUCUCUGCUUUGAUACCAGCUGUGAGAGAAAAAGUUCCCCACGUGUAGAAUGAAGAUACCGCCCUGCUUUUUAGCUUAGACUGAAGGAGGGGUGCUAAAUGACAUCAGCCUCUCCAUCACUGCCACCAGGAGAGCUGGUCACUGUGCCCUGCUCCCUUGGUAGGGCUGCCCAUACCGACAUCACUUCCCCACGGGGCUUUGGGCCCAAGCAGGACCAGCAGGGCUCAGCUGUUAUCCAGUGAUGAACUCAGUGAUGAGGUGAUAAAUGCUGUAGUCUCGCUGCCAUGUGCUAAUAUCAGAGAGCAGAUAGGGCAGGUCUGCCUCAGUCCUGAGUGCUGGAGGUGAGGAUGGUAGAGCUGCUUGCGAAACUCAGUGCCCAGCCUUAUUAACACCACUGUGAACACAGAAAUGCCCAUCUGGAGGUGCGCACACUGCCACAGCCCAAGCCUUUUUACUGUCCUUACCCCCACUUUUCUUUUUACCAAAUAAUUGCAGGAAAAAAAUACUCAUUUAUUUCAUAAUAUUUAAAGAUUUUGCCUGCAGUAGAAAACACUGUUCUAAAAAAAUGCAAACAAAAAAAGAAGAAAAUCAACAGAACUUGCUACUCUAACCCUGAUGUCACCCCCCAGAUCCACAUGGGAACACCCCGAAGUUCCCAUCAGUGAUAUUGUUCAGAUCCAAAACAAGACCCAGCACCAACGUACUGGAUUUCUUCUCGCAGAAGGAGAUCCCCAUCAAACAUCCAACAGCCAUAAACGACCCCCCUAAUUUUUUACUUUUGUUUUUUGUACGCCAAAGCAUUUCUCCAGCAGAAAGUAAGAGGGAAUCCAUCUGUUUUUAUGGAACACCUUGAAAAAACCACUGUUGUGAAUGUGAACCAUGCAAUUACAGCGAGUGAAGCAGUGCUCAGUACUGUCAGUUCCAAAAUGGAAGAGAGGGAUGCCUCCACCUUCACCCCACUUUCAGGCCACUAUCUGCCAUGCGUGCUCCUCUGGGAGCUCUUUCAAACGCCCUCAUCCACCGCUCAGUGAGCCUCAGCGCUGGGCUCACUUCAAGGCACUGCUCAGAGCUUGGCUGGAUGAUGGGCUUUGGAGCUCUCCAGUGUCCAUCUUGGGGCUAUGCCACUCUCACAGGGAAGGAGUUUUUUCCAUGACUGAUCAGAAUUUCCCUUGUUGCAAUUCAUAACCAGAGCUCAUGCACCCCUGCGGAGGGCCCUGCUCCAUCACUCCCUGGCUCCUAAUCUCCUUGCAGUUUCCAUCUUGCACUCUGCUCCCUUCCCCACCUGCACUUCAGGUUUCCUCUCUGCUUUCAGAUCUCUCCUGGAAUCUGGGGGUUCAGGCAGCCCAGUGUGACAAAGAUGGGGAUGCAGCCACUGUGCCAAGCGCCUACAGCUCAUUAAAGCUGGCGAAAUGCCUUUACUUCGUGCUAGGAAAAGAGUCAGGCGAGCCAGGCAGACGGUUCCCCAUCACUUCUCCAUGGCAACAGGCCUUCCAGAUGCAUGUAGGCAAACAGGCCGAGGAGGCAGGGAGCAUCUCAGUCCCUCUGCCCGCACCCCAAACCUCCUCUGGUGGGGCUCCCUGCCCAGCUUGCUCCAUGCUAGGGGAGCACACCCCAAAAUUGCUUCAAAAACAAUCAUAUCUAGUCAGAGAAAUGCUCUCCUCCUUCCACUGGUGAAGGUGAAAUACUCCAAACCUGAGACAGGCAAAAUCCAUCCUAGCCACUGAUGAUUUUUAUCUAUAUAAAUGUGUCAUGCUGGAAAAAUCUGGUAUCACAGAAUCCUUGCAAACCAAAAAACAGGUAUUAGUCCAGUGUGAGAUCCUGAGUCCUAUGCCUUGUUAGGUCUAAGAUGAAGCUGAGAUGAGAAGGGCCAAUGACCUUCAGACGUUAAGGAUGCAGACUUUUAAUGCUUAGAAAAGUAAUUUUUGUCUAAAUGAGCAAAAGAAUGUGUAUCCUGACCAUUUAAAUUUAAAAACAAAAUGGAAAUAAGGCAAGCAAAAAAACAGUUACGUGAACCACUGGCAAAAAAGCAAAAGCAAAUAAUAAUAAAUCCUCUUCAAACACAUGAAGCACAGGAAGCCUGCUGGAGAGUCAGAAGUUGGCCAUGGUGCAACAGGAGCUCUCACAGGAGAUAAGGUGGGAACAAGGAAAAGAACAAAGUGGGUGUUUUGCAACCACAGUCGGCGAGGACAAGCUCUGAGAAGCAUCUGUGCCAAAACUCUGUGUAAGGACAUGGCACAGGAUUUGACUUACAUUCAAGCUACCUGCUGAGGAGGCUGAGGAAAAAAUAGCCAAACCAAAGACUGCAAAUUCACUGGGCUGAAGUGGCAUUCUCUUAAGUGCUCAGGAUGAGGAACCAGGAUGAAACAAUUCAAUUACUUAAUUGUAGCAGGUUCACCUGAAUCUCAUCUCCAUCCAAGCUGCACCACAGGCUGAUCACUGGCUUUGGGUUUAGUGCAAACCCAGGAGUCUCGUGGGAACCAACACCGCAGGAUGCUCCCAGUCCAGGCCUGCCGUGUCAGACACCAGAGGAACAGAUCCACACCAGGUGACAGAUGGAAGCACCGUGAUGGGGCUGAGGAAAAGGAAGGCAGCACACAUACCCUUCACCAUCACAUCUGAGCAUGGGAGAGCCAACGCGCCAUGCAGCCUUGCUGCAUUCACACCCAAAGAGCAGAGAUGGUCCACUGAGGCACCACGAGGAAACUGAGUUUUGCAUCUACGAAGAGAUGGGUGCACACACGACCAAGAUGAAGUAGAAGUGCCAGCUGACCGCGCUCUUCCUCCCCAGGCACAGUGGGGUGUGGGCACUGGGGGCAAGCAGAGCUUCUCUGGUAACUCCCAACUGCCCACCACUAUGGGCACUGCAUGGAGCUCAUCGCAUCGUGCCUGGGAAUACACAGGCAGGUCAGGCUGCUCCAGGCGGGCACCAGCCUCAUUUGACACACUCCUCUGGGGCCAUGCAUCACAUCUAAUGUGCCUUCUUCGAGGAAAAAAACUGUCAUUUACAAUAUAUUUAUAAUUAAUGCACACUUGGAAGUGUUUUACGAUCCUGAAUUAUGCACUGCUUCAGUCGCUAUACUUUGGGGCUGUGCUCAUCCCUGCAAGGACAGCAUGGACCGCUGGAGCUGCUGAGCCCAUCCCCGGGGCAGAUGGCACAGCUAAGGACGAGGUUUCCAAAGCCAGCUAUUUCCAGGAGCUUCCUCAGCACUCGCACCUGGUGGGUGCUGCCUUCAGCUCAGCGCUGUCCUGGGGAGCUCAGGCUCAGCACAGCACGUUUCUCUAUUGAGGCUGUGUCAGAGAGAACCAUUGCUCCUUGCUGACAACCCCGAUGGCGUUUCCAGAGCUGGAGGCCUGUCCGCUUCGUGAUGCACUGCGUUCCCGUCCUUCACCCCCUGAUGGUGCCAGAUUUAAUUAAGAGCCGCCCCUGCUGGCUCCAGCUGCAGCGGAGGACAGUGAUGGAGGCUGAGCCAAUUACCUGUGACAGCAGCACGUGUGAGCUCUGAGUAACGCUCACGCCCCAGGUGUGCGCCCAGGGCUGCUCCUGCGGGGGUGAUGUCCCCAGGACCAAUCCUGAGACAGAAAUUAAAUAGACUUAUGGUAUCGUCGCUUCUAUAACCAAGAUGCGUAUUAGUAGCGCUUUGGUUUAGCUUUCCUUUUCUUCUUUUAUAUACAUGCAAAUGCUUUUAUUCUAAUUGCUAAUAUCACCUUUUCCCCUCGGUGCCCUGACAGCAGUCAGAGAGGCGGCUUGGCAGUGCUCCAUGCCCCAGGCUGGGGUGGGUGUGCGGCCAGCAUUACCGUGCUCUUGUGGGAAAGGAAGAUUGCCACCUCUGGCAGAGACUGCUGAUGGGAAUCUGUGCUGUGGUACCACCAGGAGCCACACCGUAACGUCACAUUUAGCAGACGCCUUAAAAACCCCAAUUCCACACUCUCCAGCUCUCUGCUUCCCCACUGAGAGAACUGGUGUGCCAGGCUGUGCUUUGCCUGGGCUCUCAGCACGGUGGGUGCUGGUCCGGCCUCGUGGAGCGUCUGCAGAGGAGGAAAACAUUUGUUAUAUUUUCUGUGUGCUGGUUUUAUUACUGGCUCUUACUCACAGCAACAGUAAAUUAAAGCCCAAAGCUCAGCAGAGCCUGUGCAUUGUGACAGCUUAAACACAGCACUCAGGCAGCACACAAGGAGAAUGACACACUGGAGGAGGUCAGGGGAGCACAAGUAAAUAAGUUGAGAUUAAUUUUGGAAUAAUGCGCAGAGAAAACGAUGUCUGCCAAGGAAGGAGCUUUGCAGUGCCCCCCGCAGCCCCAUCCAGCCCUGCUCCUCACAGCAAAGCACGAGCAGCUCGUUAUGGGGUCACAGCUCGUGCCCAGGGAGCUGCAGAACAAACACCCCAAGCAGCACACGCAAUGCAAGGCCAAAGCUCUGCUCCUGCCCAGGCAAUGCCUCCCAGUAAUUUUGGAAGGGGCCUCCCAGGUGCCAACGGGCAACAGCAGUUUGUUCUUCUUCCCAAACCCUCCAGCAGUCAAACAGCUGUGUUUACCAUGCUGUAUAACAAAGCAAUUAAAGGUUCCUUACCUGCACCAAGCGGUGCUGCCCAUGGGGACAGCAGUGUCACAGAGUCUGGCUGCAGCAUCCCCUUGCUGGGCACUGCUGGUGGCUGUGCUGUCAGCACUUGUCCUACACAGACCACAUCCAGAGCUGGAGCCUGGGCAGGGCUGGGUGCUGGGGUGGGCAGGAACUGUUUAAAACAUCCUAACAAACCCUUAUGAAAAUGUACAUGUGAGUGCACAGAGCAUCAGGAGGCCCCUGGGUGCAAUUCUUUUCUGCAGGAAGAUUUGGGGUUAAGUACAGGGCAGGGAGGCCAAUGAGAGGCGCGAGGCUGAACCACUGAUGCGGCCCCCACCGCCCAACCAAGGAGCAGAGCACAGCUGGCAGGAAAGCAAGCCAGGAAAACAAUCCUGCUUUUAAAAUUGUACAGUAAUUGUGUUACAAUCCUCUGCACAGGAGAGACUGCUUCAGAGUCCAGGGCUCAGCUUAUGGAGAACACAGCUAGGAAAGAAAGCUGUAAUAAAUUAUUUAGAAC